UGUGUGGUCAAAAAACGGGCAGUGGGGC
rnacentral:piRNA from 1 species